rnacentral:rRNA from 1 species
ACCACUUUUCCGUAGGUGAACCUGCGGAAUAAUCAUUA